UAUAAACUGUUUACUUGUAGGUAACAGCCCCAGUAGCCCUGUACUGGGCCCAGAAUGAUUGGCUUGUAAUGCCUGAGGAUGCUAAAUAUCUCAAUGAUCGUCUGCCUAAUGUUGUCAAGUUUGAAAGGGUGAAUGAAAGUAUGUACACACAUCUAGAUUUCCUAUGGGGAAUACAUAACAUGGAUCUAGUUUACGGACCAACUAUAAACCUUAUGAAAGAAUAUUAACUAUACAUUGAUAGUCUAAUAUCUUUAUUCCUUUAUCUUUGCAAAUCUUUUUGAUAUUUGAAACUAUAAGUUCUGUUUAAUCAGCUGGUAUAAGUUCGAAAUAUCAAAGGUUUACAUCCUCAGGUUGGUUGCAACAAUAUUGAGAUAAAUUUGAUUUUGGCAAAAAAUCAAUUCCUUUAUUAAAAAACUAUAAAAUUAAUAUGAUAAAUUAGAAACAUGUAUCAAUUUUUAUUUUUUUUAUUCUAAACGCUUUACGAAUAUUGUAUAAUGAUAUGAUUGUUUAAUCAAAUGUUUUUCGCUAAAUAUAUUUUAAUUUUAUA